GGUGGUGUGGCUCAACUGGCAGAGCACCUGCCUGGCAAGCACAAGGCCCUGCAUUCAAUCUCUAGUACCACAA
rnacentral:tRNA from 1 species